CGCGUCCCCGUCUGAUCCGUGGACCAGGAAAUUGGCUUUCCGUGUAGUGAUGGCAGCAGAAACGAAUUGAGGGCAGGACCGAGAUUCUUCUCGGCUACGGCGUGUGUCAUUUGGAAGCUGAAGACCCGGGGACGGAGGCAACUGGCGUCGCCGGCGAGCCGCCAUGGAGUUUCUGGUGCAACUAAUUAGCAGAUUUAGUCUGCUUGAGGAGGUAGGGGAGCCGGUUCCUGUGGUUGUCAAUGUCUCUGCCGUGGCGGAUCUGCAAGUGGCAUUGCAGGCGGAGCGGGAGGCAGCGCAACGGCGGUGGACAGCGGCGAAGCACAAAUCUUCUUGGCAAAGGAGGCGGCGGCGAACAGAAGGGAGAGCUCGCCACCAAGGUCGGAGCUGUCGACGGGGAAGAUGAAUCCCCAAGCACCGGGGUGGAACAAAAGGUGGAGAGGCGUCCCAAUGAUAGCCACAACAAGUUCAGGAAGAAUCUUGAAGCACCUUCUGUCAAGGAUUUGAACUUUUGAAGCCAUCUCUGUUCUCUUUCGGCUCCGCUUGAUGGAUGACCAAAAGUAGCUUUAUAUCCCCAUGAAAGUCUCGAAUGUUCCAGUAAGUAUUGUUCAUGUACAUUAUGAAAAUGCUAUUCGGUUGAGUCAUGUUUUUAUUCUGUCAAAUGAUGAUUUUUUUAGUAUAGUCGACAGUAAAAAGUUUAAACCCAUUAGAGAUUAUUAAACAAAUGUUCACCUGAAAACAGAUUGUGAGGGUUUGAUUGAGAUAUG